UACGUAGGGGGCUAGCGUUGUCCGGAAUCAUUGGGCGUAAAGAGCGUGUAGGCGGUCCGGUAAGUCCGCUGUGAAAGUCGGGGGCUCAACCCUCGAAUGCCGGUGGAUACUGUCGGGCUAGAGUGCGGAAGAGGCGAGUGGAAUUCCUGGUGUAGCGGUGAAAUGCGCAGAUAUCAGGAGGAACACCAAUGGCGAAGGCAGCUCGCUGGGACGUGACUGACGAUGAGACGCGAAAGCGUGGGGAGCAAACAGG
rnacentral:rRNA from 1 species